GUUCCAUCAAUUCUAGAGAUCGUUCCUUUAGGAACACGUUCCUUAACAACACUGAUUAUUUUCCGUCGCUGUAGGUGUAGACAGAAAACGCGUAGGUAUAUUUACCCGAGAUUCGCGAUAAGACAUUUUAAUCCACGUACUUUUGCAAACAACUUUUGAGCAACGUACAAUAUUAUCAGUUACCGCAUUUACCGAAAACCCAACUAAUUAUUCC